rnacentral:rRNA from 1 species
AACGAACGCUGGCGGCAGGCCUAACACAUGCAAGUCGAACGCCCCGCAAGGGGAGUGGCAGACGGGUGGGUAACACGUGGGAACCUUCCCUAUACUACGGAAUAGCCCAGGGAAACUUGGAGUAAUACCGUAUACGCCCGAGAGGGGAAAGAUUUAUCGGUAUAGGAUGGGCCCGCGUAGGAUUAGCUAGUUGGUGAGGUAAUGGCUCACCAAGGCGACGAUCCUUAGCUGGUCUGAGAGGACGACCAGCCACACUGGGACUGAGGCACGGCCCAGACUCCUACGGGAGGCAGCAGUGGGGAAUAUUGGACAAUGGGCGCAAGCCUGAUCCAGCCAUGCCGCGUGAGUGAUGAAGGCCUUAGGGUUGUAAAGCUCUUUUGCCGGGGACGAUAAUGACGGUACCCGGAGAAUAAGUCCCGGCUAACUUCGUGCCAGCCGCCGCCGUAAAAC